CUUGUGAUCUUUCGAGGGUUGUA
rnacentral:miRNA from 1 species